rnacentral:rRNA from 2 species
AAGCAGAGGGGGCUUAGUGGUGGGGUGACUGCGUACCUUUUGUAUAAUGGGUCAGCGACUUAUAUUCUGUAGCAAGGUUAACCGUAUAGGGGAGCCGGAGGGAAACCGAGUCUUAAUUGGGCGUUAAGUUGCAGGGUAUAGACCCGAAACCCGGUGAUCUAGCCAUGGGCAGGUUGAAGGUUGGGUAACACUAACUGGAGGACCGAACCGACUAAUGUUGAAAAAUUAGCGGAUGACCUGUGGCUGGGGGUGAAAGGCCAAUCAAACCGGGAGAUAGCUGGUUCUCCCCGAAAGCUAUUUAGGUAGCGCCUCGUGAAUUCAUCUCCGGGGGUAGAGCACUGUUUCGGCUAGGGGGCCAUCCCGGCUUACCAACCCGAUGCAAACUGCGAAUACCGGAGAAUGUUAUCACGGGAGACACACGGCGGGUGCUAACGUCCGUCGUGAAGAGGGAAACAACCCAGACCGCCAGCUAAGGUCCCAAAGUCAUGGUUAAGUGGGAAACGAUGUGGGAAGGCCCAGACAGCCAGGAUGUUGGCUUAGAAGCAGCCAUCAUUUAAAGAAAGCGUAAUAGCUCACUGGUCGAGUCGGCCUGCGCGGAAGAUGUAACGGGGCUAAACCAU